rnacentral:lncRNA from 1 species
UGUGUGGAGUAACAGCUGUGCAAGCUCUAUUGUCUAGAGGCAGAUAAACAACUGGACUGGAUGAGGUGAAAUCUCAGCAACAGCCAAAGAAGCCUGGAGUAGUACCAAGAAAUAUCUGGAAGCAUGAAAAAAAAAAAAAAAAAUUGUUUUUCUAGUAAUGUGCUUUCUCUGGGCAGUACGUAUUUGUGCCACUAGAUGUCCUGGCAGCAUCAGCUCUUGCACCACACGGAGCUACAACCCAGGUUGCAAAAAAAAAAACCCCACGGACCUACAAACAUCGCAUGAUUUAUUCUAAAAAUCUCCGAACCUUUCCUCAGAAGAAGAAUCAUCGUUAGUCUGAAGAUGAUCCCUAGUAAUCAGGGAUUUUUAUGCAACAGAAUGGAAUUUUUCUGAAGCUCUUUAUUGUUUUUUCAAUGUUUCUUCACCAUUAGGAUAUUGUAUGUAUCAUGGACAGCUAUCGAGGUUGGAUGGAAGGAAUCAGCAGUGUCAGAAAAUCAUAAUGGAGGAACAGUCUGCAGGUACAGCUCAGAACAGAAUGAACCAGAUUGCCAUUUUGUUAACAUGUUUUGUGAGCCAGGGUACAGUCGUGGAGUGGGGAGGUGACCAAGAUAACACAGAGCCAGGGCAGCAGCCACCCAAGAUCCAGUCCCUGGGGAAAGAGAGACGAGCAGCCCAGGGGUCAGAGCUGGAAGCAGCCAAAAUCGAAGUGAUCUGCUGA